CCGGUUGGUGUCACGUGUCUGCCCCUCUCUGUGUCCCUCAGUGGAACAGUGUCUCAUAGACUCACUGCCAACUUCACUUCCUUGAUACAUCCCUCACCCUGCUGCACUCCUUAUGUGUUUUCUUUCUGUGAAACAUCUGCCGUAAGACCUCUUCCUCUGGAGUCUUGUGAGAGACCAUAGGGCUGAUCAUGUGCUGGGCCUAGGGCGCAUGACGUGUCUGCUCACAGCCUAUACCAUUUCUCCACCCCCUACCCCCACCCCUUCAUCCUUAGACUUCAUUAGUACUAGUUCAGAUCUAGAUAAGAAAAAGAUAACUUAGAAGAAAUCAGACCUUUUCUAGACUCUUCCAAAAGUAUGUAUUUGCUUCUAAUACUUUACUCAAACUUGCCCAGUUAAAAUCAAUUAUUUAGUUUAUUUGGUUCCAUUUGAAAGACUUUAGUCUCUUGUAGAUCCAAAGACAAAGCUGUGUCAUAUGGCUGUUACAAACACGGGUGCCUGAAAACAACAGAAACGUUCGCUCCCAUUUCUGGAGGUCAGAAGCCUCAAGUCAAGGUAUCAGCUGGGCCAUAUUCUUCUCUCAAACUCCAGCAAGUAUCUCCUUGCCUCUUGCUGACUUCUGGUGGUGGCUGCCAAUCUUUGUGGUUUCUGUGUGAGACUGUGGAGAGUGGUAGGGCUUGAGAAGGUUAGAAAGCCCAUCUAAACCAAAGGAAGCUGCCACCACUUAGUACCCACUGACCAGCACAGGAUGGCAACGUACUCUUAUUUUUCUCCAAAUGGACUUAGAAAUUGGAAUUUUAGGCAUAAUCUUUCAUUAUUAACUAUGGAACAUGAAUACUUCUUAAGGUCCAGAUCUGUGUCACCAUGUUAAGACACAAAACUCCAAAGCAUGCUAUGUACCUAAAAUUUUAAAUUUUUUGAUUCAUUCAAGCAUACAUUUGGAAAAUUUGUGUGGGAAUGGAUUUUAAGGGUGUGGGAUAAUUUUGGAAGGAACAUAAAACUAAAUCAGUACGAACUUGUUGAUAUAGCCCAUUGAGCAGAGAUUCCAGUUUGAUAUUGAAGCUUGUAUAGUUAAAAUGGUGCCAAGCAUUUGAUUGGUUGGCUGACAAAUUUGUCAAAAGAUGGCCUACUGAGAAGGAGCUGGAGAUGCCAAAUUUUCCUUGGCUUAGUGUUGAUGAAGGGAAAUUGCAAUGCUGGAGUGGAUUCACUGUGUAAAACUUAAUCCUCCAUAAUGGGCAUGCCCAGAAGACAAGCCCUUCACAAAAUGGAAGGAGGAACACCUGCACAGAAGAGUAGUUCUGUGGCCGUUCUCCUCAUGUCAGAUCUUAGGGUGAGUGAUACGGCUGCUUAAUUGGGACCCUAAUUGGAAGAGGUUGACCUCUGUCACACCAUAUUGCCAGCCUCAUUGGAAGAUACACACUUAAAAUGGAUAAUCUCCUUGAAGAAAACACCCAGAGAACACUUGAUGUCUACUCUCACACUUAAGUCUCUACUUGGAGUCCUGGAGUCGGGUUCAGACAGUGACCUUAUCAGGUUCCUUCGACAGGUCAUUUAGCCCCUCUAGCAAGAAGAGUGCUGACCCCACAAGGCUGCUUGGAGAGCCAAUUGAAGUGCUGGAUGUUACGUGUCUGGCACAUAGUAAGUGCUUAAUGGAUGGAGUUAUAAUUAUCUCCUAGCUUAGCUUCCAGCCCAUCCCUGAACCAGUCACACUGGUCAGGUGAUGUCACAGUCUGGCCAGCCAAGCUCGGGUCAUAAAGUAACAUUCUGAACUGACUGCAGCAAGGACUAAGCGUUGCAGAAAGGCCAGGGUGUGAGUGGGGAAGGCAGAGUUUCAGAGCCUAUUUUUGUAGGCAUCAAAGCAGGAGAAGAUGAUGGUACCUUAAAAGAAGGCGGUGAUUGUGGUGUCAGGCUCGAGAAUCCCAUAUUGUGCUUCCUGUGAGCUGAAGGAAGUAAAAAGUUCUCAACUGCUCCAACAGCUCCUUCUCUGUGUGGUGAGGAAGGAAGAUCACAGGAUGAGCAGCAUCUAUCAGCAGGCCCCCCCCUUUCCUUCACCACAUGCUGCAUGUUGCCGUGCACCUAGAGCAACUCAGCCUCUCAAAAAGCGCAUACUGUUAUGUGAGAAACAGGUUCGAGAGUCCCCUGCCAGGUGCACUUACUGCACACCACAGACAGUCCUUGGGGCCCACUAGAGACUCUCGCUACCUUUACACCCAUCUUUGAUUGCAAACAAGUCCUUAGGUUUCAAAACAGGAAGUAACCCAACUAGGGUUGCUGUUCUUCCUGGUAACCUCCCUUCCACAAAAGACAAGUCACCUGUUCUUCAGAGAGCAAAGAAACUACUCUGAGAAAGGAAGCAUCGGCCAGAGGGGAAGGGAUGGGACAGGUUUGUUAACUGGCCACGAGGACACUGGAGUAAGAAACCAUGGCAAUUGUUCCAGCGGUUUUGAGAAAUGAGCAUUUUGUUUCCCAUUUUACACAAUCUAAGUUACUACAAAAGCCCAGACUUUCUUGGUCGAUCUCCCAGCUCACUCUUCCUUUGCAACAGCCCGUGACUCCAGCUGAUUGCCUUUUCUCUGCACUGAGUUUUAUGAACCAGUGGGAACGCAAUCUGAGACCACCAGCAUCCACUGGCAGGAGAUAAGAAUGGCCUUCUAACCAUGUACACACAGGCACAUCCACAUGCACUUUGCAUAUUGUAGCUGGUAAUGAAAAUGUCAGGGCUUAUCACUGUGAGCAGGCUCCCAUUCAUCACAGCCAUUCCCCUCUUAAAUUAGGACAGUCUAAUUUCCUUGAAGUCAGAGGCAACUCUAUCGGUUUCAUCUUGCUCACCCAAAGCAUGGUAAGACACUAUUAUCUCACACGUGGCAGGUGCUCCUGUAAGGUGCUUUAAAUGAAAAUGAGAUGGGCUGUAUGUUUUUAUCUGCGCUCCACAGUUCUUUGAAAUGUAAAGGACAGUCUCAUCAAUGUUAAAGAGCUGCAAAGUGGAACAAUUCCUUGAAACUCCAAAGGGACAGAAACAUUAGUUUGAAAGAGUAUGAGGCGGUGGUAUUCAUGCUCAUACACAAGGCAUGCAUGUGAGGGCUGCACACAUGUACACACACACACACACACACACACACACACACACACACACACACACACACACACACACACCUCUGUUCCCACUUUGACUUUGAUGAGCACCUGAUCAAUACCCGAAGGCCUCUCCAGCCUAAACUGAAGCUUCUCUUGCCAGAAAACCAAAGUUCCCAUCCAUUAAUCAUUGUCUAGUCCCUACCAGGCCAAAAAUAGACCAUGUGCCUGCAAAGAUGUCUCAGGAAGCUGCCAGGGGCCUCCGGGAAUAGCUAGUGUGAGCAGGAAAGACAUAAAUUAUCCUGAGAUGGAGAAGAGGCCUAGAAAGUGGGAAGCCACUGCCAGUGCCUUUAUCUAAAACAGUCUGAUUUGGGGAUGGGGGGUGAGGGGACACAUAGAAGUCAUAGUGAGGACGGUGCCACUUCCUGGUUCACCCUGAGUUGGAAUUAGAACAGUGGCUCCCUGUUUUUGUCUUCUCUGGGAGGCAGAGUGUGAUCACAAGUGAAGCAUGCUGACCAACCCAAAGUCACUGGCUCUCGGUUUGCUGGUGGGUCAGGAAUUCUCUGGAACCCCGCUUUUGUUUUGCAUUAGUCCUCUGAGAGCUUGGCACUAAUCCUUCUGCAAGCAUUCAAGCAGAGUGAACUGGAAAAAUGUCAGGAAGAACACAGGGCAUAUAAAGAGCUUAAUUAAUUUAGUGAGAGCGCCGCCCCCCCUCCCAUAACUCAAGCAGACUUUUAUUGACCUGUUUCAUGGUUGCUGUUUCGUUCUCAUACUAACUGAUCAGGACCUUAUGGGUUAUUAAAGAGGACAGUCAGCCUGACAAAGGUGGGUGUGUUCUCUGCUUGUUCAGUGGCAUAUUAAAGGACCAAAUCCUGAAUGUCAGCACAAUGCUGGUAUUGUUACCACAAGAUGGUAACCCAGGCUACCACGGCUGCCCACAGUAACCUGGUGAUAGAACUUUUAAUUUGGUCACUCUUAUUUUGUUUUCAGCAUGGCACGGGGUCACGUGAACUGAGCUGUGCUCUCUAUAAGUAGAAAUCUCAUCAUCCCUCCUUCUUGGGACAAUUCCUCAAAAGGACCAGAGGACCUCCUCAUGCAAGGGGGAGGAGCAGUCAACAUAUGGGUGUGUCAUGUUUAAUUCCAGUCCCCAAGUCGCCUGGGCAUCCUCUGUCUUGUGAUAUGCAUCUUGUCAUGAAAAGGAGGGCAGUGGUGAUGCCCACUAUGCUCAUGUGGAACCCAGGCUGUGUCUGCACAGAGGUGUCCUACCCCAUUCAAGAAACUCCCAUGUCUCUUAUGACCCAUGGAGGAAACCUAGAUGUUUUCUCUGAUGUUCAGGCCUGUUCCCACUCUGGCCACAAAGCACUUCCCAUUCCCUCCCCUUUGUUUACUCCACCCCACUAGACCCCAAGCCCCCUGAGUGGCUUUUGGUGGGUUUUUUAACAAACGCCUAUCUCUUUACUUUAGAGCAUCAUUCCCUGUAUGUAUUCAAAAGAAAAAAAAAAGUCACUACUUUCCAGUCAUUAUGAAGUUGAAAAUGAGGUAAUAUAUGAAAAUAAUGCAUAUUUUCUCAAUAGUAAUUGACACAAAUCAUUUUCACUAGAUUUUAUUGUGUACUUUCUUAUAUGCUGGCCAUUGUUCUAAACAUCUUACACACUUUAUAUUGAACUCUUACAAAAAGCUGUAUGAAUAAGCCGGUUACUUAGCAAAACCUAUUCAUAAAGCAACAGUGAUGAAAUCUCAGGGAUUUAAAAUGCUCACUUCAUGCUCAAUGUCCUUUAUGAUCUGAAGGGGCCUCUAGGCACUGUAAGGCAAGCUGACCUCUAAUGUCCAAGGCCUGUGCUGUGUCAGUUAACUUUCCUCUACUGUAACAAAAUCCCUGAACCAAUCAAUUUACAAAGAGGAAAGUUAGCCAGGCAGUGGUGGCGCAUGCCUUUAAUCCCAGCACUUGGGAGGCAGAGGCAGGCAGAUUUCUGAGUUCAAGGCCAGCCUAGUCUACAGAGUGAGUUCCAGAACAGCCAGAGCUACACAGAGAAACCCUGUCUCUUAAAAAACAGAAAACAAAACAAGACAAAAACAGAGGAAAGUUUGUUUUGCCUCAAGGUUUUGGAGGAUUCGGGACACUUGCUUUGGUACUGCAGCAAGGCAGUGCACCACGGUGGGAACAUCUGUCAGAGGAAAUCCACCCACCCUCUGGCUGUCAAUGAAGGAGGAGAGACCAGGGGUCACAAUAGCUUUGGCGGCACACUCCCUGUGACCUAAGGACUCCUAGCAUGCCCUCACAGCUCCCAAUAUUAGCAAGCUGGGAACCAAGGCUUGACACACAGCCCUUUGUGGAGACUUGAGAACUAAACUAUAGCACACAUCUAGGAACUCAAGUUCUGUCUGGAAAUGACUCAUACUAACCCUGCAUAGUUCCUGGGCCCAAGGUAUCUUGGAUAUAGGUAUGGCGAGUCAGAGUCAUACCUAUCUAAGUACAAAGGUCAAAAAAUGAGAACUAAGUAAUUUAAAUGUGGCUUUUGUGAAGUAGGGCAGAGGUCAUUGACCUGGGUCUAUAAAGGGUCUAGAAGUGAUGAUUUAGAGUUGGAAGCUACAGCUACUUGCUACAGGCAAACAGCCCCAGACAAGGUAUAGAUAAGCAGGCCUGUGUGUACUCAGGCCACACUGCAUGGUAGGUCCUAGUUUGUUAAUCCUUACUUGAGCGUUCUUUGCUCUUGACCUCAAGGUCACCUGAAACUUGGAAAAUUGAGAACUGAACUAAUAUGCAUGGUAACCCUUCUCUGUUAAAUGCCUCCCUGAUCAGCCCCCCUUCUGGUCAGGAUUAAAGGAUUUGCACAGACUCCAAUGGGUCACUUCCCUGUCCAGCAGCCAAGGUCAAGGAUAACCCGCCUUUCACUGGGGCCUGGCUAAUUAUUACUGUACAGGUUUAAGAGAGUGAAAGACCUAUAAUUUUCUUCCUAAAAAUGACAACAGGAGCCCUAAGGACUAAACAAGCCACUGCUGACCCCUAUCAACUGCAUGGCUUCUAAUGGCACAGCCACCGAGGGGGCAGUGACAACAGGCCUGUGCUACCCAGCUGGCAAAGUCAGUGGGAAGCUCUGGGCCAUCCAACCCAGACCUUGUUUUUCCAGCUGAUGCUGCCUGUGUCAGCUAAUUCCUGUUUAGAAAUGCAUUCCAGGGCAGCUGGGUCUUUAAAGUCACACUGCUUGCUCACUGAGUUAUUCAAACCCAGAUGGCUUUGCGCUAACAUGACCAGGAGAUUGCUGGCCUGGCUUAGAAAUUGCUCGAAUGCCAUAGAAUCUGGAUUUCCAACUGAGAACACAAGGCCUGGAGUAUAUUUGUGGCCUUGUUCCUAUGUGACUCCAGUUCUAAGAGGCAAGGCUAUGAGUUGGGGUGAGUGUAGGAGAAAAUGGAGGCCUUACUGACUGCCACACAUCUGAGAGGCACCUUAUCCUCACCCAUCCCUCAUGCAACCUCAGUUUCCAUGUGAUGAAAACUAAACCAAGGCCAGUGUCAUAUGGUGUUGCCAGGAGGGUAGCAAUGUGUGGGUUUUUGAAAGAUCGCACGCGCGCGCGCACACACACACACACACACACACACACACACACACACACACACACACACACUCAUGAAUGAAUGGCAGUCAUCAUGGAAGCAAGAAGGCCUGAGAAUUAAUCAAGCUAAAAGUAGCUGGGACCUGGCUCUGGGGAACUGGCAGAAUCCAACCUAAACUGGGCUUCCCAGUGCUAACUGGGAAUUAAACAGGAGAAACAACCUGAAAGGUGUGAAGAAGCAUCUAGGGGAGCCUGCCUGCCUACCGGAGCCUUGCUAAAUACUGCUCUCCCUAGGAGCCUGCAGGGGACAGGUCAGUGAGGCAGCUGAUUGCACUGGACAAGGAAGCUGGGGCACCCAGGAGAGGCCUGGGGAGACCCAUGGCCGGGCAUCAGGGCUAUGAUGUACCGGAAGAGACUUGCAUCAACUGACCCAUGGAUCCUCAGCAGCUGAGUAGCAGUUAGAGAACUGGAAGUUUACAGCCAAUCGUUUCAAAAACCAUGGGUGGGCACUGUCGACUCCCUGAGGAUUUCCAUUCUCCUUUUAGAUUAGAAAGCUAAUCUAGCCCACCUGCUGUGGUUAAUGAUAAAGUCACUGUCACCUAUAUCCUCCUUCAAAACCAAGACUGGACACCCCAUUUACAGUCACAUAACUAAAUGUGGGUCACAGUUAAAUUGACCAUGGUAAAAAUGGCAAGGCACACAAAGACCAGAAUUAACUCAAACCAAGUGCGUAGUGGGUCUGCGGUGUUUCUGGCGUGGCAACCUCACUGCAGACUUGGUUCUGAGCUCUUUGUACAGCUCAUGAGUUCACUCGGCAGGGUGCUGCUGACCGACAUCAGAAACACCUCAGCUCACGUCUGAGACCGCUGUGUUCUCGUUCCCAUGUUUGUACUGUGCAGACAAAACUUUCUUCUCUCACAAGAACAGAAUGGUUUAAGUGAAAAACAAACAAACAAACAAAACAAAACCCCAAAGGCUUCAGAUGUACCCUCCCACCACAUCUCAGCAUGCUCGCAGCCAAUCAGAACAGCGUUGGCUUUCACGCAGCCAAUCAGAACAGCUCUGGUUUAUGCUGUGAUACGGAGUUUGAUUAUAAAGUUUGCUGUUUGGGUUAAAUUAACGUCACAUUUGAGUUUCAUGUUUUAAAAGUAUUCAAUGAAUUUUGUAUUGGGAUUAGGCCAGAAUUCCCAGCAAGCUGUGAAAUGGCCCUAAACAUUGUUCUGCCUUGUUUUAUUACCAACUUAUGUGGAUUGGCGUUCUCAUCAUUCACGACUAUAAAAUCAAAAUAUUGACCAACUCUGAACAAUACUGAAGGUUCUCUGUGUACCUUGACAUCAGCACUCCAGCCAAGAAGUAAUUUUCUGUGUAAGAAUACACAAGCAAAUCUUUUUGUUUUUGUUUUUGUUUUUCGAGACAUCUUUAAGCAACAGUAUAAUUAUUUGUGUAUAACUGGUAAGAAUUAUUUUAAAAUAAAUUAAGUUAUGAUUUACUAUCA